rfam:Actinomyces sp. oral taxon 414 strain F0588, complete genome.
CGAGCCGACCGGGCGGCCGCGGUACCGCGGGGCGACCCGCGGGUCGAGGAACGUCCGGGCUCCACAGAGCAGGGCGGUGGCUAACGGCCACCCGGGGCGACCCGCGGGACAGUGCCACAGAGAACAGACCGCCGGCCCCGGCCGGUGAGGGUGAAACGGUGGGGUAAGAGCCCACCAGCGCCGCGGGUGACCGCGGCGGCUCGGCAAACCCCGCCCGGAGCAAGACCGCGCAGCAGGCGCCCGAGGGCUGCUCGUCCGAGCCUGCGGGUAGGUCGCGCGAGCCCGCCGGCAACGGCGGGCCAAGAUGGAUGGUCGCCACCGCCGCGCCGGUGACGGCGGGCGGCAACAGAACCCGGCGUACAGGUCGACUCGUCCG